rnacentral:rRNA from 1 species
CAAUGCCUAGUUGCACGAGUUUAGACUCGUAGCAUAUAGCUCAGUAACACGUGGCCAAACUACCCUACAGACCGCGAUAACCUCGGGAAACUGAGGCCAAUAGCGGAUAUAACUCUCAUGCUGGAGUGCAGAGAGUUAGAAACGUUCCGGCGCUGUAGGAUGUGGCUGCGGCCGAUUAGGUAGAUGGUGGGGUAACGGCCCACCAUGCCGAUAAUCGGUACAGGUUGUGAGAGCAAGAGCCUGGAGACGGUAUCUGAGACAAGAUACCGGGCCCUACGGGGCGCAGCAGGCGCGAAACCUUUACACUGCACGACAGUGCGAUAGGGGGACUCCGAGUGUGAGGGCAUAUAGCCCUCGCUUUUCUGUACCGUAAGGUGGUACAGGAACAAGGACUGGGCAAGACCGGUGCCAGCCGCCGCGGUAAUACCGGCAGUCCGAGUGAUGGCCGAUAUUAUUGGGCCUAAAGCGUCCGUAGCUUGCUGUGUAAGUCCAUUGGGAAAUCGACCAGCUCAACUGGUCGGCGUCCGGUGGAAACUACACAGCUUGGGGCCGAGAGACUCAACGGGUACGUCCGGGGUAGGAGUGAAAUCCUGUAAUCCU